GACUCGGUGGCGGAUGGCCCGUCUCUGCUCUACAUUCGUGUGAAGUGAUACUAAGUACAAUGCAGACGACGCCUGUUCGACUCAGGCCCGAGCCA